rnacentral:lncRNA from 1 species
UCAGAAAUCGAAUUUGGGAUUAGAUCAACGAUACAUCACAGAAGUAAUAAUAAAGGCCUAGCUGAAUAGAAGAUCCUUACAAGAGAAUUAUUAGCUUCAAAAGUACUUGUAUGUAAUUCAUCAUGUUACAAAAUCAAAAAUCUUCAUAAAAUCACACGCAAGUUGCAACUACAAGAACAAUAACAUUAAAUUAAUGUCAUUAAUUAACACUCGGAUUCAAUUAUCUAAUCUGGUUUUUUCAUGUUCUCUAACAAUCUUUAAUGAUUUCAGCUCAUCAAUCAACUGAAUCAAGUUGUUGAAAGAGUGUCCACCUUCCUCUACAGUCCUCUUGGCAGCAUCAGCGAGCUUUUUAGCUCUCAUCCUCAUUGUUUUUCCUUCUUGGCCACUUCCCAUUAGAAUCUCAACAGCCUUCACUAUCUCUUCCCUUUUCACCACUACCUCCUCUUCAACAAUGUUAAGUCCCGGCGCUUUCUCUUCAACAACGUUAAGCCAAAACUUGUUCACUUUUGAUCCUACAGAAACUCCAAUUUUCAAAGCAUCAACAAGCAACUUCUCAUUGUAAAAUUGCUCAGCAAACAUCGGCCAUGUGAUCAUCGGCAAACCAGCAUUCAAGCUUUCAAGAAUCGAGUUCCAACCACAGUGAGUCACAAUUCCACCUGUUGCAGGGUGAUCCAAUAUCAGAAGCUGUGGUGCCCAGUUCCAUAUGACAUAGCCCUUUUUGCUUUCUUUCACCCUUUUCUCAAUAUCAUGCAAAAACUCUUCUCCACCCUUAACAACCAAGAUAAAAUUUGAACCUGAAUUUUCAAGUCCAUAGGCUAGUUCAACAAUCUGUUUAUGAGAAAGCCUGGUAAGGCUUCCAAAACAUACAUAGAUCACAGAAUCAUUUGGCUUAGAAUUAAGCCAAUUUAACAAUUCUGAGUCUUUUCCAAUGUUCAUCUCCAUGUUUCCCCUAUUGGCCUUUCUUUCAUGGUCAUUGUUAAUCCAUGCUGAAACUGGUCCUACACUCCAGGAUUUGAUUCCCAUUGUAGUUUUACUAAGUGCCUCAUAAUCACUUUCUAGUUCAUGAAAACUAUUAUAUAGUGUUCCAUAGCUUCUUUUCUCUGAAUCAUACAUGUCAACAAAUAAACCUGUGGCUGAAGUCUUCACCCUAAUCCAAUCAGCUAGCUGCAAAGGUGUCAUCUCAAUGGUAUGAGGCAAACAAGGAAUUGUAAAUUUCUGUGUGUCAGAAACUAAAUCAUCAUGAGGUCUAUACUUUCUGACAAAAUAGCUUGCACAGUUGGAGAAGUAGCUUGAGCUGUAAAAGUAAAUCCUUGGAAUGUUAAGUUUUGCGGCUGAUUCAACGGUCCAAGGAUAAGCCAUAUCCGAGACAAUACAAUCUGGUUGAAGAUCGUGAAGCAUAAUGUCAAUUUGAUGUUGGAGCAUCAUUAUUCCACGAAUUAUUUUAUCAAUAAUUUCAUUCGAAGUUCCAUCUUUGACAUUUUCAACUCCUUCAGGGAGACCAACUUGAGCUGAAGGGAAGUGAAUAAGUUGAGUUUUGAUGGAGUAUCCUGAAUUGAAGUCACUGUCUAUGGUUUUUUGGAAUGUUGAAGCGUUGGCAUUAGUAGCAAUGAUGGUAACAUUAACACCUUGUUUGGCAAAUAGUCUUGCUGUGUCUAUCAUGGGAAUCAUAUUGCCAGGAGUUGGAAAUGGAAGAAAUAUUACAUGAAGUUUUUGAGCUUCCAUUGCUUUUGAAGUUUGUUCUGUAAUCUUAAUGAGAUAUAAAUUUUUGUUCCUGAGAUUUACAUAUAAAGAGAAUAACUUUCAAAUAGAUUGUUAACGAGAAUGGAUUCUCACAAUUUUAUUUUCCUCAGUUUCCUCAAUUUUCUCAAUUUCUACCUUUUAAUUUAACUUUUUCCUCUUUUUCUUUUCUCUCUCCUCACAAAUCAAUGGCUAAGAUUCUACUAUUUUCCUGUAAUGGAGAGAAUUCAUUCUCAUUGUUAACUAUGUACACAUACACAUGGCCUAUAUUAUAAUAUUGUAAAGCCUAAGCAUCAUUAUAAUUUAAUUGGCCACAAAUAAAACAAGGUCUGCACACAUUUAAAUAAUGAAUUAUAUUGACCUUUGGACUAAAUAAAAGUAACAUGUGUUCAUGCGUUCUCCACCCAUCUUUCACAUGUGACAAUUUGAUGUUUUCUACGAUUUUAAAUAUAAGCAAAAAAAUCUUAUUUAGUCUAAAAGGAGUUGUUGAAUAGCGGUUUGAUAAAAUAAUUUUAUAAUGCUUUUGUUAAUUUCAUGAGAAGCACAUGCACUCAUUAUUAUUUAUUAUAAUAUUGAUUACUAAAAAAUAUUUUUUUGAGACAGCCACAUGUUGUUUGAUAAAAUGCCCCAAUGGAGUGAGGUUUAUUUAACUUUUUAUAAGUAGGAAGAUGGGUUUAUAUUUUUUAUUUUACAUUGUUAAUAAGAUUGCAUUAUGACAAAAAUAAAGUGUGAUAAUUAAGCAUGGUUUCUUUAUAGUAGAAUUAAAAAGAAUUAAUUUAACAAUCUUGAUGCUUUUGUAGGUUAUAGUAGAAUUGGAUCACUUUGAAAUACCUUCAUUGGUAUUGCUACUAAUCAAGCUUUAACUGUGUUUGGGUUAUGGAUAUGGUUAAAGGGUAGUCUUAGUUAGUUAUAGGUUUGGAGAUGUGAUUUUAGGUUCAAAAUUUGUAGGUUAUGAAAAAAUCAAUUAGAACAUUGUUGAACCACCAUCAUAUCAUAUGCUUUAUCAAAUGGUAACAGAAGCCAUUACUAACUCAUAUUGUAUCAUCCUAAUGUAAAAAAUAAAUACACAAAUUUUGUUUUAUAUAGUUUUCAUAGAUUUCUUAGUCUGUCCCUGCUUCCGCACAAAUAUAAUUUGUGCUUCAUCGAUCUUUGAAGCUAGGAAGGAGGUAUGUAUCCCAAUACUCAUUCCUGUGUAUGUGCAAGUGCAUUUUAUUUUCGCUUGAAAGAUAUGUCUAAUACGAAAUUCUGUAAUUUUAUAUAAUGUUUUUGUUAAUUUCAUGACAUGUAUAUGUGCACUGUUUAUUAUUUAUAAUAAUGUUUCUUAUAAAAUAUGAUUAACUUAACAUGAUGAAUAUUUUUUGUGCUUCAUUAACCUUUGAAGCUAGGAAUGAGAAGUAACCAACCACAUGUUUGAUGAAAUGCCCCAAUGGAGAAAAGCUUUAUUUAAUUCUUCAUACGUAGGAAGAUAGGUUUCGAUUUUAUUGUUCAUAUGGUUUAUAUUGUUAAAAAUAUUGUGUUAUGAUAAACAGUGUGUGAUAAGUAUGCUCUGAUGCUGGGUGUGUUAUGAGAAAACUGGAACAGUGGAAACUCUGAUGCAUUUGUAGGUUAUAGUAGAAGUGAAUAUUCAAUCAUGGUUUCUUUUUACGCGUACUUUUUCAAAUAGAACCAAAUUCUUGAUCCUACUCUCUUGGCUAAGCAAACCAAAUUGCUAGCAUUGAGUUUUAUUGUCUACUAAUGUGGAUAACAGAGGCCAUUUGGUCUCACUAUGAAACUAAUCCUCGAGUUUGUAACGAGACAUCCUUUUUUUUUUUGACACCCGAUUGGAUUUAGGAAUCGAAUUUGGGUUAUUUUCCUGGUGGUAAAGUCAUGUUACCAACUCUCCUAACACAAUUUUGGUACAUAGGAAAGAUAGGAAAGAUUCACCAUUUAUAUUGAGUUGUUUCUUCUCCUAUGCAAUCUUGAAUUAUGGAAUCAAUGGCAGAUAGGAAAGAUUCACCAUUUAUAUUGAGUUGUUUCUUCUCCUAUGCAAUUUGUAGACUCCACCUCACUCCCAAAUGCCUUUGGCAAGGAUUGGAUCCACAGUUAUGUCUUCUUUCCCAAGCUAUAAUUAAAACUUCAUCAUUCUGAUUAUGGAUAAUGAAUCAAUGUUGCAAGCUUAGCAGUGAGCCAUUUCAUCAAGUAUCUUAGAAUUUCAAUUUAGGGUCUAACUCAAUCCCACAAAACUGGUCAUAAGAUGAGAACUGUCCAAACUUUAUAAGUACAAUGAAUCUGCUAGGGACUGAGCUUGAACUGGUAUAGUUAGGCUUAUAAACUUACAUAAAGGACAGAUUCAUUUUGCUCUGAGUUAAGACAAUUUAGCCACUCUUCCUCUUCUCCAAGCUCCUCCAUAUGUCCCCUAUUCUCCUACGUUUCAUCAUCCUUGUUAGCCGAAACUGGUCUUACACUCCAAGAUUUGAUCCCUAUUGUAGUUUUACUAAGUUUAUCAUAACCCCGACUGCAAUUUAAAACCACGAGCUCAACUAUAACUUCCUAUAUUGAUCAGUAAGAAUACCAGUUUUGGGCGAAUUAUUGAUCGAGAAGUUAGGAAGUGGGUACUUUUUCACCCUUUAAAAUAUUCAAAUUAUUCGAAUGAUAGGGUAAAACAAAAAACUUAAAUCAACCAAUGAAAAAUCACACAAGUAAUAACAAAUAUCUAGAUGAAUAUCAGAUCGUUACAUGAGAAUUAUUAUUAGCUUCAUAAGUACUUGAAUGCUGUUCAUCAUGUUAUUACAAAAUAAAAAAGCUUCAUAAAACCUACCAGCUGUAACUCCUUGAGCAAUAGCAUUAACCCAAUGUCAUUAUUAAUUAAUACACAAAUUCAAUUCUCUAAUCUGAUUUUUUCAAGUCCUCUAGCUAUCUUCAAUGAUUUCAGCUCAUCUAUUAACUGGAUCAAGUUAUUAUAAGAGUGCCCACCUUCCUCUAAAGUUCUAUUGGCAGCACCACCAAGGCUUCUUGCUCUCAUCCUCAUUGCUUUUCCUUCUUGACCGUUUCCCAUCAAAAUUUCCACAGCCUUCAUUAUAUCAUCCCUUUGCACUACUACCUCUUCACCAAUGUUAAGCCAAAACUUGUUCACUUUUGAUCCAACUGAAACUCCAAUCUUCAAAACAUCAACGAGCAACUUCUCAUUGUAAAAUUGCUCAGCAAACAUCGGCCAUGUGAUCAUCGGCAAACGAGAAUUCAUGCUUUCAAGAAUUGAGUUCCAACCACAAUGAGUCAAAAUCCCUCCCGUUGCAGGGUGAUCCAAUAUCAAAAGUUGUGGAGCCCAGUUCCAUACGAUAUAUCCCUUCGUGCUUUCUUUCAUUCUUUCCUCAAAAUCUUGUAGAAAAGCUUCUCCAUCACCAUCUUUAUCCUUUUCUUUAACAACCCAAAUGAAAUUAUGACCUGAAUUUUCAAGUCCAUGAGCUAUUUCUACAAUCUGUGCAUGAAAAAGCCUAGUAAGGCUUCCAAAACAUACAUACAGCACAGAAUCAUUUGGCUUUGAGUUAAGCCAAUUUAUUAAUUCUUGGUCUUUUCCAAUGUUCUUCUCCAUGUGUCCCAUAUUAGCCUUUUUUCCAUCUUCCUUAUUAGUCCAUGCUGAAACUGGUCCAAUACUCCAAGAUUUAAUCCCCAUUGUAGUUUUACUAAGUUUCUCAUAAUCACUUUCUAGUUCAUGAAAACUAUUGUACAGUGUUCCAUAGCUUUUUUUCUCUGAUUCAAACAUUGCAUAAAAAAGGCCUGUGAUUGAAUUCUUCACUCUAAUCCAAUCAGCUAGCUCCAAAGGUGUCAUCUCAAUGGUAUGAGGUAUACAAGGAAUAGUAAAUUUCUGUAUAUCAGAAACUAAGCUAUCAUGAGGUCUAUACUUUCUGACAAAAUAGCUUGCACAAUUGGAGAAGUAGCUUGAACUGUAAAAGUAAAUCCUUGGAAUGUUUAGUUUUUCAGCUGAUUCAAC